rnacentral:lncRNA from 1 species
CAAGUACACAAGUAUUCAAACAGGGACUCCCCUCUGAAUUAGAGUGAACUAUUCUGACUCAAGGCUCACCCAUUUUACCUUUCACCAUGGGGCUUAUAGCUAUCACUUUGGUCUUGGGCAGUUGAAAGACAAAACAGUUAAGUCGAGCACUAUGCUACCUGCUCUUUGAUCAACUAUUAUUCUAGCGUUUUGAAAGAUUUUCAAAUAAAACUUAGAGUUUCCUUGUAUGACACUUUCCAGUCUCUCAUAUGUGGUAUUUUUGGAUCCUCUCUAAGGCAAGUGAGUAUGUCUUCUCUCUGCUCUCAGAAUAUGUGGUAUUUGUAUCACUAAGACAUAGUUGCCUUCUCUCUCUCACCCUACUUCUAAUUAGCUUAUGUGGAGCUCAUAAGUGGGAAAGAUAAUUCAAACCUACUCGCAUGUAUUGCAUAGUUAAACCAUGGAUCCAGAGAAACUAAUUAUACAAUCAAGUCAUAUGUGCAUGUAAGUGUAGUGAAUGAAGUGAAUGAUAAGAAUGAAAGUGGUAAUGAGGGGGUGAUAACUGAUGAUGAAUAUCUUAUUCUACAAUUUCUCCUUGGAGAUAACAUACUUCCCUAAUCUGAGAACAAGGAUUUGGCUGUCUUUCUUUUCUUUUGCAUUGGGACUUUUGUCCUCUUUCUUUCUUUUCUUUUUUUCUCUCUCUUUUUUUAGAGAUCAGCCAUCCCUUUUAAUUCAAUGAUAACAGUAUGGAGUAUCAACUAGGAUAACUGGGGCUUUAUUGGAUAAGUAGAAUAAGACAUUGAAUAUUUUUGGAUGUCUUCUCCUAGUGUAGGAGUAGAACAUUUCCUAAGUGGAUGUGGAAUGUGUGUGGGUGAAUGAAGGAAUGCAUACUCCUAGGGUAGGAGCAGCAUAGGUACGUGUCUCUAGGAUAGAAACAACAUAGAGUGUAGUGUGUAUAUGUGGGUGGUACUUCCAGGAACAGAAGUAGCACAUAGUGAAUGUGGUGGAUGUAAGUGGUUGCAUACUUCUGAGGACAGAAGUAGCUAAGAUCAAUGGAUGGAGAGCACAUAAUAUUGACUUUAACUGCAUGACUAAUUCCUUAGGGUCUACACAGCUUAACUACUCUCAAUGCUUAUAGGUUGAAAUAUAAGUGGAGAUUUUCCUAAUCUAGUAAGCAUGAGUAAUUAGCUAUGGUAGGAAUUUUAAAACUGUAACACCCAAAAUUUUGAUUUCAAUUAAUAGUAAUUAAUUUGAUUAUUUAAGAAUUUUUGUGAGCAUUUGAAUCUAGCAAAAUAAAUAAUUUUGUACAAAUUUAAAAUUCACCAUAAAUUUAGAAACAUGAAUUUGCAUUCAUGCUGGGGCAUAUUUUUAUUUUGUGCUGUGAGACUUUGGUUUGAAGUUAAUUAUGUUCAAAAUUCUAUUUGAAAAAGGCUUUGACAAAUAAAAUAGAAAAAAAAGAAAGAAAAAAACAGCCGAACUAGGCCUGGUGGCCUGCUGGCCGAGAGGCCCAACCAGCCCAGUCCCCCUCGCUCUUUUCUUCCCCCUGGCUUUCUCCCCGGCCCGUUAGCGUGGCCCGCCUAGCGGCCUGGCUCAGCGCCGCGCGCUGGCUUCCCCCUCCUCUCUCUGGACCCGCCGACAUCUAGGCCCCACCAGGCGGCGCCCGUCCCCUUCCUCCAGACAGGUUCGACCCGAACUCGGCCGGGACGCACUCGAUCCCGUGAUCCUCGGGAUUUCUUGACAAGCGUGUGCACCGAGUCCCUAUAAAGGUUGCUAGCCACGCCCCGCACUCCGUUCUUUCAACCGCGCCGCGAAAUCAAGCCCUAGGCGCGCUAAGCGAGCCCGGUUGGGAUCUAGCCU